CGCCCGUUAGCUCAGUUGGUUAGAGCGUCGUGCUAAUAACGCGAAGGUCGCGGGUUCGAUCCCCUCACGGGCCA
rnacentral:tRNA from 1 species